rnacentral:rRNA from 1 species
GACGAACGCUGGCGGCGUGCUUAACACAUGCAAGUCGAGCGGUAAGGCCCUUCGGGGUACACGAGCGGCGAACGGGUGAGUAACACGUGAGCAACCUGCCCCUGACUCUGGGAUAAGCGGUGGAAACGCCGUCUAAUACCGGAUACGACCUUCCGCCUCAUGGUGGAGGGUGGAAAGUUUUUUCGGUCAGGGAUGGGCUCGCGGCCUAUCAGCUUGUUGGUGGGGUAACGGCCUACCAAGGCGAUUACGGGUAGCCGGCCUGAGAGGGCGACCGGCCACACUGGGACUGAGACACGGCCCAGACUCCUGCGGGAGGCAGCAGUGGGGAAUAUUGCGCAAUGGGCGAAAGCCUGACGCAGCGACGCCGCGUGGGGGAUGACGGCCUUCGGGUUGUAAACCUCUUUUACCACCAACGCAGGCUCCGGGUUCUCUCGGGGUUGACGGUAGGUGGGGAAUAAGGACCGGCUAACUACGUGCCAGCAGCCGCGGUAAUACGUAGGGUCCGAGCGUUGUCCGGAAUUAUUGGGCGUAAAGAGCUCGUAGGCGGCGUGUCGCGUCUGCUGUGAAAGACCGGGGCUUAACUCCGGUUCUGCAGUGGAUACGGGCAUGCUAGAGGUAGGUAGGGGAGACUGGAAUUCCUGGUGUAGCGGUGAAAUGCGCAGAUAUCAGGAGGAACACCGGUGGCGAAGGCGGGUCUCUGGGCCUUACCUGACGCUGAGGAGCGAAAGCAUGGGGAGCGAACAGGAUUAGAUACCCUGGUAGUCCAUGCCGUAAACGUUGGGCGCUAGGUGUGGGGACUUUCCACGGUUUCCGCGCCGUAGCUAACGCAUUAAGCGCCCCGCCUGGGGAGUACGGCCGCAAGGCUAAAACUCAAAGGGAAUUGACGGGGGCCCGCACAAGCGGCGGAGCAUGUUGCUUAAUUCGACGCAACGCGAAGAACCUUACCAAA